UACGUAGGUGGCAAGCGUUGUCCGGAAUUAUUGGGCGUAAAGCGCGCGCAGGCGGUCCUUUAAGUCUGAUGUGAAAGCCCAGCGGCUCAACCGUGGAGGGUCAUUGGAAACUGGGGGACUUGAGUACAGAAGAGGAAAGCGGAAUUCCACGUGUAGCGGUGAAAUGCGUAGAGAUGUGGAGGAACACCAGUGGCGAAGGCGGCUUUCUGGUCUGUAACUGACGCUGAGGCGCGAAAGCGUGGGGAGCAAACAGG
rnacentral:rRNA from 1 species